rnacentral:tRNA from 1 species
UCAGAAGUGGCUCAGUGGCAGAGUACCCGACUUGCAACGCGGGUGAUCCUAGGUUCGAUUCCUAGCUUCUGAC